CGUCGUUCGUUGCAUAAAAAUAAAUUUUAAAGUUGAACAUUCGUCACAAGAUAUAUGACCACCCGUAUUAUCAUAUGAUACUCCGCUGUAUUUCGUUUCCAUCGCCCAGAUAAUCGAUGCCAAUCCGAUUGGAUAUCUCACGUAGCAGCCGUGGCGGUGGUAUUCGUCGAACACUUUCGCUCCAGCUACAUAAAUACGGGCUCGACCUUUCUCUUGGUGGAACAAGUCUACUUCGUCGUUCUCGAUGACUCGUAGGGCAUCGGUAGAUAAGAUAAGAGAAAGAGAGAGAGAGAGUGAGAGAAGAAGAGUGGAAAAUACGGAGUUGGUAACCAUUAAAACAAAACCGAUUCCGUGAUCCAAGGAGACUUGCUUCAAGAUUUCUUAGUCACGAGCAAAGCUUAUGUAACUUUGCUUUGUCUGCUUUUCAAUGGUUUCAUGUUUCAAUAGAUUCUAUAUUCUUUUAUUUUUUAAAAAACUGGAGUAUAAAAUUCUUCAACUUUUUAUUUAAUUUUAAAUGGGUCAGUCAUUCCACUGUAUCUUUGAAAUAUUUUAAAUAUCGUCAUACAAUUUGAUCAAAACUUCUUUCACCAAUCGUGAAAAAUAAAAUUUCUGUCACCAGUCGUGAAGAAUAAAAUAUCACAGACACAGAAAUUGCAAGCAAAUAUUAUUCGUGUUACGUGACUUAUCGAAUUCACUCCUUUGCAGUGAAUUGCCAUGUCUAAUGGAUAGAUAGACCUCGCAAGGAAACUUUCUCCGAUAGGGAUACAGCUCGUGAUCGGUCACUCGGCCAUUGUCGUUUGACGCAUGGGGUUCUGAACAGCCAUCCAAUAUCGUCACGUGGACUUUCUACGAGUUAUCUCAUCCAAGUUCGAGCACGAAUUUUCACAAAGCACAAAACUGUGCUGAAAUAUUCUCUUAGUAUAGUAUAUCUAUAUAUAAAUAUACGUAUCGUCGAUCUGUCUUUCACUUUGAGAGCCAGAAUGCGCGAAGGCAUCAUCAUCACGCGUGGCUGAUGGCAUGCCGCGCGAGAACGGACUUUCCCUUCUAACCUUACGAUCUUACUUCCACGCGAAGUAAGAAAACCGAGUCUUCUUUUCUCUUUUCCAACCAUCUUCUGCUCACCCACGAACGUACGUGAACAUCUCGAUGUGCUACCUAAAAGGCGACCGUCGUUGGAAAAUGUGUUAAUUAAUUAUCUCCCAUGCGACUAUCUCUUCUGUGCUGUGCUAAUCGGAAUUAUAAAGGAAGAGAAUUCUUUCUUUUUUCUUCGAGUGUAACCUCGAUCUAUCUAUCGAGAUAAACUGCGAAGUUAAAAAUGUUUUAAUUAUUAUUUUAUUUUGAUCAAUUGAGUUCAAAGUUAUUUGAAACGGAAUUUCGAUAAUAAAAAUUAUAAACAUUUCGUUAUGUUCCUAAUAUCUCAAAUUUUGUGAAUAAAUGAAUUAAAACGAAUGAAGAACGAAGUUCAAUUAUUAAAUGAAAAAUAAAUACCAAAAAUGAAAGAAUUCGAAUGAUAGGUAGAAUUUUUUGAUUAGCUCCUCUUAUUUUCUUUCUUUUUUCUCUUGAUUUCACCUACGUUCAUACGUAUAUGCAUAUACUUUGGAAAAACUUCGACGACAUCACGGUAUACGAGCAACGUCAGAAAGUUGGUCUCUCUUAUUACGAAAGUUUUUCGGUAGCGUGGCGUUUUUCCUAAACCACGGAAACUUUGCAAUCGAGUGAAGGUGAACAGGGUGGAGAUGGGGAAUGCCACGUGAAAAAUAGUUUCGGCGUAGGAGCUUUCUACGAAGAGUAAAAGUCACGUCGAAGAAGAAUCUUCACUCUUUUACUGGUCGCCUACGAAAAAUUUUAUUUACGAACCACGUGGUUUAAAGUUUUCUCGAGCUUCCUUGUACUACCCGAGAGUCAGAUGAGUUGAGCUUGGGUAGAAACCGCUACUAUUUUUACAAUUUCUUCUUCUAACGAAAGAUUAAUGAUUAAGUUCUAUCUCAAAAAUUUCAACAUUCGGAAUAGUCCCAAAGAAAGAAAAAUGAAAGACGGAACAAUUCACGGUUGAUUAAAACAUUUUCUUUUUUCCUACAAUCUUACGCUAUGAGAAUCAAAGUUAAAUAGAAGGGAUUCAAUUCAGUGUUUAAUUCAGACUUCAAUAAAAAAAAGUGUUUUUGAACCUAACAGAGUAUUCACAAAUGCCAAAUGAAAAUGCGAUUUUAAUGUUAAUUCGUGUGAGGGGAACUUAAUUAUUCCGUUUUUUUUUUUACGAAGAUUUAUUUGAGGUUCUCUCCACUUUUGAAAGUUUAACAAUGACAAGCUACCAAAAUAAAGCUCGUGAGUUAUACUACCUACGCAUGCUUGACGAAGAAACUAUUUUUAUCUUAACGAUACCAUACAUUCUGCACUUUAUACGUCGUCUCCUCUCCCCUCUCUUGAUGUACGUCGACCUUGACAUUUUCCCUAUAAGCGCACGUCGUGUAAGCGAGAUUGAAACAUCCACGAAAGAUCGACUUAGAUCGAUACCCGUCUAUUUUCCAAAUCAUCCCAUCGAUCUUCGAGAACGAAUAUGUUCUUAGGUAAAUCCAGUGAUCAAAUUAUAUCAGCAUCAACUUAUACGAAGACUUGUUACUAGCGAGAGGUGUUAAUGACACGAUACUUGACAGUAGAAAAAGCAGAGACCGUCAUUUUCGAGUCCACAAGAAAGAACAAAAGGCGAGGAAGAAGACUCUUCAAGAUUCCCAUUCCUGGAACGCUGGUGAUUUCUAAUUGAUCGUAAAAGGCGAAGCUCCGCGAUCGUGUCCUCGAUAUUUCACGAGCACGGUGAAAGAAGAAACGCACUCGUCGACUACGCACGAGAAUCUCGUCGUACCAGAUCAAGGACGAGGUUUCUCAGUGUCUCAAUAUGUCGAGAAACCCGAUUCGGAGGCCUUGUACCACUUAAAUUCGGACACUUCCUAAGCUGGAAAUCAGGAAACGCGAAUCGUUCUCUCUCAUUCUUAACCAAUUCGACGAAGGGGAAAAGAAAAAAGAGGAAAAGCGAGUUGUGCAGGUGCCGAUCGAAAGGUCGUGUCUCCGUGGAAAAAAGGAAUGCUUGGAAGAGGGAAGAAAAGGUCGAACGUCAAUCCUGAAGUGGAACGAAACGAUAGAAGAGAAGGAAGGUUGUAAUCUAUCUUUCUCUUCCUUUCUCUCUCUCUCUCUCUCUCUCUCUCUCUCUCUCUCUUUCUUUCACAUAUACAAACGUACACUAAUACAUUCUGGCACUAAUAAAUUAAUAAAAUUAGCAAUCCGCGCUAUCGGCUGGGAAUAACACGAGCGUAAGAAUCGAACCUCAUUAAGCAGGCUCGUUUCUUCUAGCCGGUAAUUAAAUGCGACCAAAGGAAAGGAAAAACGCUGGAUAAGGUACAUCGCUCGCGAAGUAGGCCUCCCGCAUUUAAUUGUAUCGCGCCUCGUUAGGUCGUCCCACAACGGGUCGACCUUUGGGUUCUGUGUGCGUGUGUGUUUGUUUCAGGGUUCACAAGAAUGCAAGAGACACUACGUAUUACGAUAGGUCGAGGUGAUGAAAAAAAAAAGAAAGAACCAGGAAGAAAAGAAAAAAAAGAAAUCGGGUGCAAAGACCUGCUUGCUGCUAGAUAGACGUGAUUAUGGAAACGAGAGAGAGAGAGAGAGAGAGAGAUGGAGAAAGAGUGAAAGAGUCCCAAGUCUUGUGGAAAGAGUAGAAUUGCGGUCCAGCCUAGUUUUUUAAAAAAUGCGAAACAAGUCUGUGGUCUAGUUUAUUGAACGGAUACGACAGCUUCUUCCUCUUGAAAAGGUUUUGAUUUCGUCGGCAAGUUCAUAGAAAAUACGGAAAGGAAAGAAUAUCAGAAGGCAGAAAUAGAGAGACGCCACAGUUCGGUAAGUAGUUACUGCUUAAGUUUUACGAAAAGUCGUACUAUUGCAGAAUCGGAAGUCAUAAUCCCGGAAUGUAGAGUUUUGAUGAUCUUAGAAAGGCUCGUGAAUAUAGUAACAAACUACAUCCCGUUUCUUGCUGACGUAGUCUUUAAACGAAGCAGCCGUCUUCUUCCUUUGGGACCAUACCGAAAUCCGAAACUUAUUUCGAAGACGAAUGAAAAGUCCGAAAGCAUUUCUACGGCAUAAGCGAGAAAUUGAAAGGGUUCAUUCUAUCUGGGUCCACCUUAUCCACAAGUAAUAACGUGCCAUAUAUCUAUACACCUAUUGGUAUAUACAGACCGGACAGAAAGUUGUGAAAUAGAACUUGAUAAAAGCAAAACAAAAUCGAGUACUUAUACGAGCGAAAUAGAAAAGAAAUGGAACUAUCGAUUUUAUAAUAAAAGAAAUAAUUCAUCAUAUUUUCUGACAAAUAUUUGAGAUAUUGGUAUAUUCCCACUCAUCGUUUUUUUCUCGUUUUAUCUUCUCUCAUAUGUUUACGCGAAAUGAUCAUAGUGCUAUUUUUUUUCUCGAGUACCUGUGAUACGUUUUUUUCUGUCUGUCUCCAUGUCUCUUUAUUUAAACGGUUAGCCGAGUCUCGAAAGACUAGCACCUAUUGCCAACGAUCAUUCCUUUGUGCAACGCACGUCUCUGAAUCGCCUUGAAAGUUCGAACGGGAAAGGUUACACACCGCUAUUCUGCGCGUUAAGAAGCAGGAUUUGAUUAAACGCUGCAGUAAUAGAUGAAAAUUAUUAUCGGUCGUUCGCUAUCCUCUUUUCUACUGGA